AAAAAAAAAGCAGGGGAUCCACCCAUGGACGUUUAAAAACAGCAGGCCCCUUCUACCGAAGUAUCUUAGGAAACAUGGCCAACCCCUACAGAGGGAGGUCAAGGAGAAUUAGCCUCUCUUCCCCCUUGGCCUUCUUGGAGAGCAACCAACUGAGGCCGCUGCUAGCUACCAAUGCCCCUGUGUUUGAGGGUCAGGUGCUAGGAGCCGCCCUUGGGAGUCGAAGAACAACAACAGAACUCAGAAGGGAAGCAAUACUGGGGAGGGGCAGAGCUCAAGGUCAGGCUCACCUUAGAGGAAAUCCAGCUUGAACUUAACUGAGUUAAAAUUCUGGGUGUCCUCAGCAGAAAAUAUUAUUAAUAGACCCUAGAACCCUUCAAAUAGGUACCGCCCACACGCCCUCCUUCAAUUCUAAAAAUACACCCACAGGCAUCCAGGCAGCUGCAGGAUUCCAGUGCCGGAGGCAAGAGAGACUUGGGGACAAGUGAUUGACUGGGAGUCCUAUAUCUAAGAACAGCAGAAACCCUCAGCUUGGUGGGCAUUGCAGGCUGCUUCCUGAACCCUGAAGAAACCCAGCAGGCUGUAAGGCAGUUUCCCACCUGUUAUGUACGUGUCGAAACAGCACACAGAAAGAAAGAACUGAAAUUUUCAAGUGGACAGCUGCGGGAUUACGGAAGGGACAUCACUUUGGAGCCUGGGGAAUCUGGGCUUGAACCCUGGGUCAUUGGUGACUGAGGAAGAUUGGGCAGGUUAGGUUUGAGGUCUGCUGUUCUCAUCUGUCAAAUGGGAGCUUGGAUGCCCUCAUAGGUUUACAGGCUUAAAGUGGAGCGUGCCCUUGAGGAAUGGGAGACUAGAUAGGACGGGAGGGCUGGGGUUCAUGAUCAGAGGACGGAUACUGGCAGUCACACUUCUAUUUUCCAAACAGACACUGUUGAUUACCACUGAUGGGCAUCUAAGCCUCUGCUCUACAAGUUCAAGCCCAAGGCUUUAACCCUUUUAGGCUGUGUUGGUCUUGUCACAGGGCAAAGGCAUACAUACUCAAAGAGCCAAUGAGUUUACUACUAAUUGCAUGUAGUGAUAGCUUUCGAGUUUAAGAAGACUUCCCCACCCUCCCCCAUGCUUCUUUUCCUGUGUUGAAGAUGCUCUCCUGUGUACAUUUAUACCAGACUGCUUAGGGAAGCAGAGAGUUGAAGGAUGGGAAGCUCGUAGGCACUACAUUAGCUUGUGUAAGAGAUUGAAAGACUGUCCUUAACUAACACUGGAGGUCACUUGUCUGGGAAAGUACAAAUUCUGUACAAAGGUACAGAUGCUAGGACAGUGCUGGAUCAAUAUUGACAGACCAGUGCUUGCACUGAUUGGGGAUUGACCGAGCCUCUCACAGGGGUCACCUAAGACCCUCGAGAAACAUAAACGAUUACAUUACUACUCAUAACAGUAACAGAUAUAGUUAGGUUGUAGCGACAAAAAUGAUUUUACGGUUGGGGGGGUCACCACAACACGAGAAAGUGUGUAUUAAAGGGUCACAGCCUUAGGGAGGUUGAGAACCACUGUUCUCGACUGUGGGAGUAAGAACCCACUUUUUUUUUGUAUUGUCCGAUGCUGUGUCUCUAGAUUCUACCACAUGCUUGGCUCAAAGUAGCUGUCCAGGAAGAUGCUUUGAGAGAAGAAACAAUUAGUUCUUGUAUGUAAAGCCUCCAUAUGAAGCCUAUAUGUGUGUACUUUUGUCUUACAUGAUCCAGGUUAUGGCGACUUUUGGUAUGUGAUGAACGUGAUUGGUAGAAUCCUCACAAGUUCUAGGGAAGACCCUAGGCCUCCUAUCCUAUCUACUUCUUACCCCUCAAGGGCACACUACACAGCUAGCUACCACAGGAGGUACUCCGCACACAAUCCCUUGUGAGUGGUUGGUCUCUGGCUAACCUUCAGAUACAGUUACACUGAUGCCAUCCUCCAAGUAUCAUGAAGUUCUCCAACCCAGACAGGGAACAGAUUCCUGAAAUUCCAAAGAGCUUCAUGGAAAGACUCCUGCACUAGGAACAGGCUGCACGCUCACUCCCCACUCUUACCCUUAGGAAGUUAACUUUGUAUCAACAGGAGAGAAGAUGACCGAAUAACUACAGGCUUAUUUCUUUGAGCAGAGAACAAUGUGCUCUUAACACCAUGCACUCAGUCCCGGACUCAGCCGGCACUAAAUCAGGAAGCACGGUUUGAGGAGGAAGGUAUUGGGCUGAUUUGUCUUAAAGUGACCUGGAACUUCUAUCUUCUCUGAGAGAUUACAGCCGUGAGAGUCAGUUAUGAUGAAAUAGGCAGUGGGUGAAUUUAAAAAAAAUAGUUUUUCCUUCCUGCAGACCAAUUUAUAAGCAUGAAGCACAGAGAUGAGACUGUGGAAUUUGGAGGGAAAUGCUUGUAAUAAUGCCCUUUCAUUAGGAAUUCACCUACUGUACCAAAAUAUAAAUAUUCCCCCAAAUAAAAUUACUGGUAUUUUGUGGUUCUCAUUUGAAUUGAAGGUCACUCUGGUAAGUGAUAUUAGAAGAGUCAGAGUGAGUCAGCAUGCCAGGGACAGAGUUAGCUUCACUCUUCUGCUCUGACUUCUGUCCAUCCUGCAACAGAGCGAAGAAUAUUCACGCUCACAGGAAAGAGAGGAACCGCGAAGCUCGCCAACGUUUUGUGACAAGACGCUACAUGUUAAGAAGCCCUGCGGUUUGCUCCUGUGGUUUAUCCUUGAGCUCCGUUCUCAACAGGGAGUCAAUGACCUGAGGGCCUUUGGACAAAGGCUUAGGCAUCCUUGUCUUUAGAAUUAACUGACUCCCAUUGGCACCCAGCGCUGGGAACUGCUGAAGGGAAGUGCUCACUAAGCCCGCCCCCUCCCCUCCCUCGAUGAAAAUGGCAGAGUCUAGGCCAGCUGACUGUGCUUCAGGUGAGACACUCUGAGUAAGAAAGCCCUGAGACUUUGUACCAUUCCUGUCCUCCCACGUCCCACUUAGACCACUGAAGACUGAGCUUUUUUCUAAUCUGCAAAGGUUGACAAGGAAGGAGGAAGGUUUCUUUCUGCAUGACUACAACACUUCUGAAAGGUUGGGCUGUGGGCUUCUGUUUUCUUUUCACUUCUCUCUUGGAAAUCACCCCUGUGUGUGAUGGGACUUCAGGAUGAGGCGCGCUCUUUUCGUUGAACAAGCGUUUCCCACUGUGCCUAGGAGGCAAAUGGAGGCUGCUGGGUUUUUUCAGCUCCCUACAUAGCUUUCGGUGCUAGUUUGUGAAGAGGAUGAUUUUCUUCUAAAAUUUAAACCCCCCACCCCCACCCCCAACAACAGCAAGUGAAUUCAAACUCUUCUCUCCUCAUACUUUGAUUGAUGGUCACACCUUUUAGAAUAUCUAGCUCUUUUUUCGGGAAAGAAGCAGCUGGCAGCCUUGACAUUUAAUUCUAACAGACUGCCUUACUCAAGGCCUCUUCCCCGGAUAGGAUGCACAGACUAUGAGGAAAUAUUCAGUGACACCCAUCCAAAUGUCUGCACGGCGUGUGGAGGAACGGGACAGUAUGCUGAGCUGAUAGCAUUGAGAUGUCUGAUCUUAAGGAGUCACACUAGUGGAAGGGGGAGGGGACUAUUUUAGUUGCAAUGGUAACUGCUGGGGGUGGGGGUGGGGGACUUUGAAAACCGGGCUAGGGUAUUUUACCCAGAAAGAUUUGCUGUCAAUCAGUGGUACCAACAAUAUUUGCGACAGCUGUUGAGAGCUGGGGAGGUUAGCACAUGUGAAUCUCUUUACAUGAGCCAACCAAUUUAAACAGUAUACCUCUGCUUCAUUCAUUCAUUCAUUCAUUCAUUCAUUGUUUAUACAAGAUCUUGCUAUGUAGCUCAGUCUGGCCUCUAACCCACCAGGUAGCCAAGGUUGGCUUGAACGUGCUCUGCCCUUUGAGGACUUGGAUUAUAGGUGUGAGUUAGCACAUUCAGCCCAUCUUUUUUUUUAUCCACUAAGACUCAAAGGCACUGUGAGUAUAAAUACUAUGUAAGGCCAUGUAGCCUGGUAGUAACAGGCCUUUGCCAGAGCCUGGCAAAUUUUGCUGUAAAAGGACAGAUGGUAAAGACUUUUUGGUCUUAUGAGACACGCAAAACUGAGGUCUCACCUGAAUUCUGUAAGAGAUGUGCCACUGUCCCAUUCUGUAGGCGAGAGGUAAAAGCACAGAGCAGAAGCUACCUGCCUCAGGUCAGGGUGCACACGGUUGAACCACGCGUUUGCUGUGUGGCUUCCCUUAGGGCACUCAGGCUGCUCACCUUGCUUUACCCCUCAAAUUAAUCACCACCACAUGAGCUCAGAAAGCCAGUUAAAGUCGGAAGUCUCUUCCUUUCUAGCCUCUACAAAGAACAGGAAGUCCCGGGGUGCCCUAUGCCCUUUCCAUGGUUGCUAGAACAAUCAAAGCCUGGCAGUGAAGGGGGAAUCUUCAUGCACGUGUUAAGUGGGGGAUCUGCAGGGAAUUGGCCUUAGAACCCAGGCCAACCUUUGCUUCCUCAUUAUGUUGCUGGCCCCAAAAAGGAUUUACCCAUUCGCCCCAAGAAAUCCCACCACUGAAUCAUUCAGUCUGGGGAGAAGUUGUCCCUUUAAACUAUCCAAACCCUUGGGGCUGGAUAAAGGUUAGAGGACAGUCAUUCAAUUUCUAGUCACCUGACUUUCUAAGUCAUGGAGUACACAUGCACUCCUUACAGGCCUCUUAUCCCCCCAGAGGCCACUUCUCACUUCUGUUCUUCCUGCUUCAGAGGGUUCUGCCUCCCUGGGAUGAGUGUACCACUGACCUCUUCUCCCAGACGCAUUGCCUGCUUCGGUGUUGAAUAACAGUAACCCUCGGUAGAACACCUACCAGCUUCGUCCACUUGGACUCUCUGCUCACUAGAAAACAGAACACUGGGGUCUCGGCCUCAAGCCUACAAUCUCUUAAACCCUUAACUAAAACAUGAAUACAUAAAAAAAAUCACAUAAGCCCCCAAAGCACAUAAACUUAGUAAGAGAAUAACUGAUGAAAAGAUGUGUACAUCAUUUGACAAAUGUGAUAACAUACGGAUGCUUAGGUCAGGAAAGGACCUUCUGUUAGUUCUAAAAGACUGUAUUGUCUGCUGAAAUUGUAGCCAUUGAGGCUGUGUAAGCACACUCUGUGAUGUAUGCAGACGAUGAAACUGACAACCAACACCUUUUCCAGAAAACAUGCCCAUCGUUAAGGGACACAUGACGGCAAUGUCCAACAUCUAACAGUGUACACAAAUGAAUUACAACUAAGCUGGAAAACUGGAUAAAAUGAAUCAAAUGGCAAGACAAUAGAA
rnacentral:sRNA from 1 species